rnacentral:tRNA from 2 species
GCGGGUGUGGCGGAACUGGUAGACGCACGAGAUUUAGGUUCUCGCGCCAAAAGCGUGGGGGUUCGAGUCCCUCCACCCGCACCA